rnacentral:rRNA from 1 species
AGAGUUUGAUCAUGGCUCAGAAUGAACGUUGGCGGCAUGGAUUAGGCAUGCAAGUCGAGCGAGAACCAAGGGAGCUUGCUCCCGAGGGGACAGCGGCGAAAGGGAGAGUAACAGGUGGAUACCUACCUUCAGGCUUGGGAUAGCGUCGGGAAACUGGCGGUAAUACCGAAUAACAUCUACGGAUCAAAGCUCCGGCGCCUGAAGAUGGGUCUGCUCACUAUUAGCUAGUUGGUAGGGUAAUGGCCUACCAAGGCGACGAUGGUUAGCGGGCGUGAGAGCGUGGCCCGUCUCACUGGGACUGAGAUACUGCCCAGACACCUACGGGUGGCUGCAGUCGAGAAUCUUCGGCAAUGGACGCAAGUCUGACCGAGCGAUGCCGCGUGCGGGAUGAAGGCCUUCGGGUUGUAAGCCGCUGUCAGAGGGGAAGAAAUUUUGACUGAACCUCAGAGGAAGGACGGGCUAAGUUCGUGCCAGCCGCCGCGGUAAUAC